UUCAAAUAUAGGCCCAUCACUAAACCCUAGCUUCCGCCAUUCGUCUCUAUAUAAACUACCUUCGUUCUCCUUGAGCUCAAUCACUCACUCUUCUGUUCUGAUCUAGGGUUUUACAGCUUUCACUUCCUCCAUAAGAAGCAAGGGUGUCUGUCAAAAUGACAUACAUUUGCAUUGAAGGUUGGCCAUAUGUAUAGCGAUUCUCCGUGCCUUUCAAGCUUUCUUCUCGUAUUGAUUACGGCCUCGAACAAAUUGCUACAUCCACUAAUUAUUAUGGUACAGUUAUCUCUAAAUUUGGUUAAAUAAAUGACUUGAUCUUGACAAUGAGUUUGUAUUAUCUAAUUUUAGUUGAAGUUUCUUAAUUAUUCAUAAACUGUUGAAUUUGAGAUAUUACUAGUUCCACUCUGUAGUGAUUUUGUCCCCUGAGCUAAACCAUUCACCUUGUUCGAAUUUUUGUAGUAUUUAUUUGUCUAAUGUAUCAUUGGCCGAUGAUUAAAUUUCUUUUAUAGACAAGCAUAUGACUGAAUUUUCAUUAUGUUGAAUACCUAAUCUUCUCUAUGAGGCCAAUCAUAUUUUUAUGCUUUUUGUGUUCAAUAAUUUUAUAAAAAUCGUUUUUUACUUGUGUCAUUGUUUAAUAAAUGGGUCAUAUGAUGAUUAGAAGCAUAGUUCAAAUGAAAUCUUUGUGAUUAUAGAACAAUCUUUAUAGUCUUUCGCUCCUAUCUGAUGACUCUUUUUUUAUUUGUGUUUUAAGUUAUGAUUUGUUUUUGAAAAUUUGAAAGGGAUAUUGGACUGUGACGACUUAUAUCUAUUGGUCUCGUUCGUCGUAAUGGUGUUAAAACCACCUUGCCGACCAUUCUGAUAUAUCACCACCCAUAAACUGAGUCCUAUAAUUAAACUUUUGCUGUUAGUUUUUUUGUAUUGUAUUUAGUGUUCAUUUAGAGAUUUUUUUAAAUUUGUUUGAAGGUUAUUUUUUCCUUUUAUGGUGCUUUGAUGAAAAAAUCUUGUGUCGGAGACUUUGGUCUGUGAUGGCUUACACAACCCUCUAAGAAGUUCUGAGCACUAUUUUUUUUUAUUUUCAAUUACAGAAUAUUUUCUUGCAAGUACUUAAAUUUUGUAAGAUUAUUUGUUAUGUUAAUGUCUUGUGAGGAGUAACGAAGUGAUGAUAGAAUUCAUAAGUCUGUCAAUCCACUGAAAUACAUUUUAUGAUGUAAAGUGUGAAUCCCGACAGGUUCUGAUCGUUAAAUGAAUAAUCCUCCAUUUAC